AGCGCGCUGGACUUCUAAUCCAGAGUUCCGGGUUCGAGUCCCGGCAGGGAUG
rnacentral:tRNA from 1 species